rnacentral:rRNA from 1 species
CAGCAGCCGCGGUAAUACGGAGGAUCCAAGCGUUAUCCGGAAUCAUUGGGUUUAAAGGGUCCGUAGGCGGUCUUGUAAGUCAGUGGUGAAAGCCCAUCGCUCAACGGUGGAACGGCCAUUGAUACUGCAGGACUUGAAUUAUUGGGAAGUAACUAGAAUAUGUAGUGUAGCGGUGAAAUGCUUAGAGAUUACAUGGAAUACCAAUUGCGAAGGCAGGUUACUACCAAUUGAUUGACGCUGAUGGACGAAAGCGUGGGUAGCGAACAGGAUUAGAGACCCCCGUAGUCCCUGUCUCUUAUAU